AUUGAACGCUGGAGGCAGGCCUAACACAUGCAAGUCGAGCGAGCGGCGGACGGGUGAGUAAUGUAUGGGGACUGCCUGAUCGAGGGGGAUAACUACUGGAAACGGUGGCUAAUACCGCAUACUAUCGGAUAACCCAUAUGGGAUUGGCUAGUAGGUGGGGUAAAGGAGCACCUGGGCGACGAUCUCUAGCUGGUCUGAGAGGAUGAUCAGCGACACGGGGACGAAGAAACGGCCCAGACGCCGACGGAGGCAGAAGUGGGGAAUAUGGCACAAUGGGCGCAAGCCUGAUGCAGCAAUGCCGAGGGUAUGAAGAAGGCCUUAGGGUUGUAAAGUACGUUCAGCGGGGAGGAGUUACCCGAAGAAGAAGCACCGGCUAACUCCGUGCCAGCAGCCGCGGUAAUAC
rnacentral:rRNA from 1 species